UCCCUGGUGGUCUAGAGGUUAGGAUUUGGCACUUUCACUGCUGUGGCCCAGGUCCAAUCCCUGAUCUGGGAA
rnacentral:tRNA from 1 species